rnacentral:lncRNA from 1 species
UCAUAUUACAACCAGGGAACCAAUCACAAUACCAACAAUUAUGAACAGACGCACAUGAAUGAAGAUCACGCAUAAUUCAAACGUAAACAGAACAAAUUAAGAUUAACAUUGGUUGCAAUGUAACUUUGCGACAACAUGCUAGAAGGUUUGCUGACAUGACCCUGAAUAGCAGAGGAUGAUCCUGUAUCUACUGUAGAAACUUGCUACAGUCUCAUUUUAGGUACUCCAGCUCCCUCGACGGAAAGAUACAGUCGGCCUACUUGUUUGGCUUACACAUCGAUUUUCAAAACACUCGCCUCGGGAGAUUUACAACUCGUACAUAGCGGGCGCUUGGGCAAACUGACAUUUUUCAUCAGAUAAGCACAUCCGCAAGUGCUCCGACUACUCAUCAGUAUAAAUCCACGUCAGACUGUAGGGUGUUAGAUCCGGCAUAUGGGAAGCCGGUUGGGUCCAAGUGUCAUCACCCGUGGAAUAGUAUAUCUUUACUUUGCUGCAGUCUUUGGGUUUAUU